rnacentral:lncRNA from 1 species
UGUGGGGCAAGAAGCUGAAUUUUCUUUCUACUAAAUAUCCAGAUGAGAAGAGUGUUGAAACUUUGAGAUUCCUGCUCCCGGAGGAGAUGUUUCCCGCCCAGACUGCUGAGGUGCCGAUAUGGGCAGCUGGAGAACCCAGAACAGCCAGAAAUUUGCUUCGGAUGAGUCAUGCUGAAUCAGUACGGAAGUCAGAGACCUACUCAAGCAGAAGUGAAGUUAGUGUUCUGUAUGGAUAAAGUCCAGGAGCACGUCUACGCUUUCAGCAACCCGAACCCUGAACCAAGAUGCAUGUCGCUGGAAGCUGAUCACAUAAGCAUGUUUCGUCCCGAUGCAGCCACCAAUGUAAGUAUGAGGAACACAUAUGAGGAUGUCAUAUUUAAAAUAGGACUUUCUUUAUUUAGAAAGAAAAUAAUGGAGCUUGAAUUAUCUGAGUUGCUGCUGUAUCUAUGUCCCUGUAAUCUUAACCAGAUCAUGUCCUCUGUGUCUAUUAAUUAA